GCCCAGAUAGCUCAGUAGGUAGAGCAUCAGACUUUUAAUCUGAGGGUCCAGGGUUCAAGUCCCUUUUUGGGUG
rnacentral:tRNA from 1 species